UACGUAGGGGGCAAGCGUUGUCCGGAUUUAUUGGGCGUAAAGAGCGUGUAGGCGGCCAGGUAGGUCGGUUGUGAAAACUGGAGGCUCAACCUCCAGACGUCGACCGAAACCAUCUGGCUAGAGUCCGGAAGAGGAGAGUGGAAUUCCAGGUGUAGCGGUGAAAUGCGUAGAUAUCUGGAGGAACACCGGUGGCGAAGGCGGCGUUCUGGACUGUAACUGACACUGAAAGACGAAAGCCAGGGGAGCAAACGGG
rnacentral:rRNA from 1 species